CCUACGGGUGGCAGCAGUGAGGAAUAUUGGACAAUGGCCGGAAGGCUGAACCAGCCAAGCCGCGUGAAGGACGAAGGUGCCAAGCAUUGUAAACUUCUUUUGUCAAGGGACAAAAUCAGGCUCGAGAACCUUACCAAGGGUACUUGAAGAAAAAGCAUCGGCUAACUCCGUGCCAGCAGCCGCGGUAAUACGGAGGAUGCGAGCGUUAUCCGGAUUUAUGGGGUUUAAAGGGUGCGUAGGCGGACUGUUAAGUCAGCGGUAAAAGCCCGGGGCUCAACCCCGGCGAGCCGUUGAUACUGGCAGUCUUGAGAUGUCGAGAGGUAUGCGGAAUGCGCAGUGUAGCGGUGAAAUGCGUAGAUAUUGCGCAGAACACCGAUUGCGAAGGCAGCAUACCGGCGGCGAUCUGACGCUGAGGCACGAAAGCGUGGGUAUCGAACAGGAUUAGAUACCCUUGUAGUC
rnacentral:rRNA from 1 species